AUUGAAACUUGCUACUCCUCCACAACAAGUUGAGCGUGAGAGUCAGUUUACUCAUUUGACCGUAACACUACAUUGGGCCUCAUUACAUCCAGCAGCCUCCAUGGACAUGGACCCACCAGGGUCCACCAGGGUGGUGGGUCUGGAUGCCCAGGGCAACAUGGUCUUCACUGUGGUGAAACCAGUGAUGGGCAUCUACCAGGUGUCUUCGGAGCAAACGGGCAGCGUCGCACACGGGGGUAUGGGGCUCCAGGGUUUGUCCGAAAACACGUUGAUCCUCCCUGAAGUGCAAGGCCAGGCGCCGCUGGACCAGAACCAGACGGAAAUGCACGGCCUCCAGCCUAAUAUUCAGAUGCCCCACAUGCAGAUUCCUGUCCCAGUGCAGACCGAGCUCGUGUCCCAGAUUCUGGACCCGCAGCCCGACGCCGGCACAAACCCCGAGUCGGCCUCCCAUAUGCCUUUUGCAGAGGUGUCGUCACUCCUGGACCCCAACAUGAAAGGAUCCAAGGCGCGGAAAUACCUCAUCUCGUACGAGGAGAUCAAGCGGCGCCUGCAGGCCCCGGAGAAGAUGUCCCUGCGCUCCCUGGCAGCCUACACUCGGGUCAGCCGAGGUCCGGCCAGCAAAAAGACGCUGCUGGAGUCGCUCAACGUCCUCGGCCUCACGCCGAGCACAACUACCUCCGUGUCCUCCUCGUUCUCCAAACUCACCGAAGGCGACACCGGGGCUUUGUGUGACGACAUGAAGGACUUCGCCCACGACUACAUCGACUGCAGCCACAUGGCUAAGCAGCUCAUCCCCGAGACCAACACGGUUCAACACUGGUCCAAAAUCAUUGAAACCAAGAACCACCUGGAGGAUAUGAGGAGAUGCUUCAAGGACCCGGUGAACAGCGGCGCGUUUGACAACGUCACUCACGGCCUGGGUCUGGGAGCGCUGGACGUCGCGCUGGACGUGAUCGUGAUGGUCAUCGAGCAGCAGAUUCGGAUCCUCUCCGGGGCGGCGGCGUCGGACCCGGCCGACUCCGGUCCGCCGAUGCGCCGCGUCCGCCGGCGGCACCGCAAAGCCCGCUCGACCGACAACGAGAGCCCCCGCAAGGUGUCUGCGGGGGUCAAAGAGCCGGGGAGGGCCAUUUCCAAAGGCAAAGGGCGAGGCCGGUCCAGGAAUAAGAUAAGACAGGAAACCGGAGCAGCGGUUCCCAUGGAAACCCAAGCAGAACAAUGCAAGCCCGAUGAGGUGGAGAAUAACGUCCUAACCCUGGUGUCUGUCGGAUAUGAGACCGUUUCUUGUGAACUGAAUGCAGCCGGAACAGUUUGACACCUGGUCACGUGACCGGCCCCAAAACAAACGAACAAACAAACAAUCGUCCUCCGGUUCAAAGGGAUGGGAAACGGACCGCACAAGUUGAGCUGCUGCGAGGGACGUCUCAGCACCAACGUGUAAUCCCAAAGUACUUGAAGUCCAACUGAAAAUAGUUUGACAUUUUAGGUAGCACAAUUUCUCAAGUCUGUAGGGUAAAUAUGUAGCUGGAGCCAGCACACUAUUAGCUUAGCAUAAAGACUGGCGCCUGGGGAACAGGGGAAGGGUCAACAGCUAGCCUAGCUCCGUCCAAUGGUAACAAGAACAACUCUAAAGCUUCCAAAUGAACACCUUUAGUCUCAUUUGUUUAAUCUGCACAGAAAAAAAGUCACAGUAGAGGCUUUGUGUUAAACAAUGAACUCUUGUGUUUUACACCAUUACGAUUAAGGAGAUCUUUCCCUGCUCGUAACUCUACUAUUCCACAGCUGAACUCCAGCCAAAGAUUGUUGUGACAGAGCAGCUAAUAUCGUCGGCGAGAACAUGAAGUGUUUGAAUGCUUCACACCUCGUGUUUGAAGGCGAGGAGAGAGAGAGGGGAAGCUAAUAAGCACCCCCCCCCCAUGCCGAACUACUCCUUUAAAGGGAAUCCUCUCUUUGUUCUGUAGCAUCGUAUGUGUGUUCGUGUAGUGUAACUGGAUCCAGUUGUAACUGUUUUCUCAUGCCAUGUUUUUGAUGAAAAAACUGAAAUCACCACCUGAAAUAUGUUGUAAACAUGUUGUUCAUGCACAAGGUAGAACCGAUGACAUCAGAGGUCUUGGAUCACACGUCUUACCGUUUGGUAACAAUGUCCUUUAUUUCCCAGUUGUAUUUAUUCAUUAGAGAUGCAAUUAAACAUCUGUUGGUCUGAACUGAAGCAUAAAGAUUUCAUUUUGAAUAACUACCUUGAGUGGGUUAUUGUCUUGUGAUACAUUUAUUCGUAUUUAUUAGAAGCAGAUAAUUUUUCCUCCCACUUCAUUCUUUGUUUCAGUGAUUCAUCGUUGUAGCAUUUGUUUUGAUUGCAGACAGGUUACGGGCAUUUAUAUAUUCUUUUAAUCCUAGAAGUCAGGAUUUGAUCAACCUCUUGAUCACCUUAGAAUUUCAUUCCUACUCUUGUUUUGGGAAACGAUUCCAUCAAAUAAUACUGUUAUGUACAAAGACGUCUAAUGUUGUUGUCAUGCCCGUGGAUUCACCAGAAGCUGAAAGGCAUUGUGGGAGAUUUUAGAGAUCCAAGUGCAUUUUAACACCUUCCCACACACACCAAUAGAGAGAGAGAGAGAGAGAGCGGCUUUAGAGGGGAUUUGCUCCUAAGAGCCAGUUAUAGUAAAACGAAGAGAGACACAAGACAACUUGUUGUGAUGCUCCACCGCAGUGCAGGGUGGGAAGGGAGUGCGCGUGGGUCUGGGGGGAGGUUAAAGCGAGGGGCCGUGCAGACGCUGACUAGGCCUCCCGGAAGCAACAGCUGAUGACUCCACGGGGACACGGACAACGAGGCGGUGGCGUUCGGCUCUGCACCAAGACGUGGAUCCGAGAGGGUUUCACCCCGCCGGAGGGUCGCCCCGGAGCAGCAUGGGACACACCUACGUGCCGCUCGUGUCCACCGACACGCGCUCCCACGGGGACAAACGCAGGUCGAGCCGCGCGCAGACCUCCACGCCGAACUGUGAGUGGGACGGAAUCGUGACGACAGAUUAACUGGGCGGGAUCUUUUAUUCAUUCACUCCGCUGCACUUCACCGUUUAUCACAGAGCGGAUUAACCAGUAACGAGUUUUUGGAUGCGAGGAAAAUAGUAUAAAUUCACACGCGUUUUCCCAGCUAAUGAAAAACAAAGCCUCUGAACAUCCACACAGGUGUUUUGAAUCAAUCAGACCUGCGCUCAGGUUGAAGGAAGGCGGAGCCGCGACGAUCUUUGUCAACCAAUCAGAAGAAAUUACGGUUUUUAUCUGGUAAAUUGUCUCUUAAGGCUUUAGGAGGGAUUGCCAGGUGCAGCUAUUCAUACACCCUUCUCUUUAACGUCAUUUGUAUCUAUUAUAUUUCAUUUUCCCAGAUCAAAUACUCGUGUCAUUCUCACCCUAACCAAGUGAGAAGGAAAUGGCACCAUGCUUCCACGCUGGACCUGGACAGUGAUAAAUAUAGACAAUAAAGCAGGAUGACGCGUAGAAAUGAAGGGGCUUCGUUGCUCCACUUGGCGAGUUAUUUGCAGGGGUCCACACUCCUGAUGAGCCUCACUGCUUUCUUCUCUAUUCUGUAACUAACUGUAAUGCCUGGUUGAGGUUUUCUCUGCUCCCAUACAGCAUGCAUAUGCAGAAACAUUUUGUGACUUCUAACAUGACUCCGUCCCCCCCAUCCACCCCUCAUCCACCCAACAGACAACCUGAACAAUGCAUUGGGCACCAUCAGAGUGCUCGGUUUGGAACUGAUCACAGACGAACUUAAACCACAUCUGGACACGGUGCUGGUCAACAUUAAGGAGAGGAGUGAGUUCAUUUACAACGUCUUGUUUAUGUCUUAUUUAUUUGAUCAGGCUACGCUAUUCCUUGAGCCUCAACACUACCUGACACAAUUGAAUAGUUUAAAAGCAAGCUUUCAGUUCUUCUUUUUUU
ensembl:lncRNA